rnacentral:lncRNA from 1 species
UGCUUUCACUCCUCCUCGUUUAUCCUCUCUUUCGCGCUUUCUCCUCGACCGUGGCGCCGCCUGCAAUGCUUGAGCGCAGCAGCGGCGCCAAUAUGCACUCUCCGCC